AUGUACAAUCCUCCCAGCUGGGAAUGGCGGAAAAUAACCAGGGAGAUCCAUAGCCCGACACCACAGCCAGAGGACCAUAACCGGGCCCUUGACCCCGGAUUCGAAGAGGAUCCGGAUAUAUUCAUGGAGAUCGGGGAAGGGUUGUUCUACCAGGUGAGCUGUGACGGCACAGAAGUGGCCAUCAUUGCUGACUAUUUCGGCCUCCUCCUUGCAUCACAUGGAAGACGAUCGGUGCGCCAUGCCAAACUCGAGGUGACUCACCAACAAGGGGCACCUGUGCCGGGUAAGCCUUCAAAAAGAAAGGUGAACAGCAACAUGGCCGAGCUAUCAUCAAGGAGAAAGAACAUCUGCCAGACUAUGUCCGGGGAUCCUGCCAGCCAUGCCUCUACUAGCCGGAUUCCAGACCCGGUCUCGAGGACGAAGGCAAACACGGAAGUGACACCGGACUGUCCUCAUACACAGGUUUUUGAUAGAAUGUCCGUAACAAAUUCUGAAGUGGAGAGUGCCAUGAAUCAUCGGCGCCGGCGGGCCGCACUCCGCAACCCUAAUUUUUCAGAAGAGGCUUUUAAUGCCUUCAACUCGGGUGAUGCGUACAUCCGAGCCGCUCAGGACGGGCUUACUAGAGCCACAGACCAGUAUUUGAAAGAUAUACGGGUAAGUAUGAAAAUCUGA
rnacentral:rRNA from 1 species